UGGGACAGAUGAUUGGGGUGAAGUCGUAACAAGGUAGCCGUAUCGGAAGGUGCGGCUGGAUCACCUCCUUUCUAAGGA
rnacentral:rRNA from 1 species